GCGGUGGAGCAUGUGGUUUAAUUCGACGCAACGCGAAAACCUUACCGUGGUUUGACAUGCCGAGGAUCCUGAUGAAAGUCGGGAGUGCCCCGUAAGGGAACUUUGGACACAGGUGCUGCAUGGCUGUCGUCAGCUCGUGCCGUGAGGUGUUGGGUUAAGUCCCGCAACGAGCGCAACCCUCAUCCUUAGUUGCCAUCAUUAAGUUGGGCACCCUAAGGAAACUGCCGCAGUUAAUGCGGAGGAAGGUGGGGAUGACGUCAAGUCCUCAUGGCCCUUAUAUCCAGGGCUACACACGUGCUACAAUGAGCGGCACAAAGGGUCGCAAACCCGCGAGGGGGAGCUAAUCCCACAAAUCCGCUCCUAGUUCGGAUUGGAGUCUGCAACUCGACUCCAUGAAGCUGGAAUCGCUAGUAAUCGCGGAUCAGCAUACCGCGGUGAAUACGUUCCCGGGCCUU
rnacentral:rRNA from 1 species